UACGUAGGGUGCAAGCGUUAUUCGGAAUUACUGGGCGUAAAGCGUGCGCAGGCGGUUCGCUAAGUCAGGUGUGAAAUCCCCGGGCUCAACCUGGGAACUGCAUUUGUGACUGGCGGGCUAGAGUAUGGCAGAGGGGGGUAGAAUUCCACGUGUAGCAGUGAAAUGCGUAGAGAUGUGGAGGAAUACCGAUGGCGAAGGCAGCCCCCUGGGCCAAUACUGACGCUCAUGCACGAAAGCGUGGGGAGCAAACAGG
rnacentral:rRNA from 1 species